GGACUACAGGGGUUUCUAAUCCCGUUUGCUCCCCUGGCUUUCGCGCCUCAGCGUCAGUAGAGGGCCAGCGGACCGCUUUCGCCACCGGCGUUCCUUCCGAUAUCAACGCAUUUCACCGCUCCACCGGAAGUUCCGUCCGCCCCUACCUCCCUCGAGCCACGCAGUAUCAAAGGCACUUUUCCGGUUGGGCCGAAAGAUUUCACCUCUGACUUGCCUGGCCGCCUACGCGCCCUUUAAGCCCAGUGAUUCCGAACAACGUUCGCACGGUUCGUCUUACCGCGGCUGCUGGCAC
rnacentral:rRNA from 3 species